CUUUACUCUAGCUUGGCACUGAGUCGUACAUAUAUUUGUGCAGGAUAGGUGGGAGACUAUGAAAGAUGGACGCCAGUUCAUCUCGGGUCGUCGUUGAGAUACCACCCUCGUAUAUGUAUGCCUCUAACCCCUUUUUGGGGGACCGUGCUUGGUGGGGAGUUUAACUGGGGCGGUUGCCUCCUAAAACGUAACGGAGGCGCACAAAGGUAGGCUAGGUCCGGAUGGAAAUCGGACUGGUCGUGUAUUCGCACAAGCCUGCUUGACUGAGAGACCUACAAGUCGAUCAGAGACGAAAGUCGGUGAAAGUGAUCCGGCACCAACAUGUGGGAGUGGUGUCGCUCAACGGAUAAAAGUUA
rnacentral:rRNA from 1 species